CUUGCCUACGGGGCGCAGCAGUGGGGGAUAUUGCACAAUGGGGGGAACCCUGAUGCAGCGACGCCGCGUGGGUGAAGGAGCGUUUCGGCGCGUAAAGCCCUAUCGGCAGGGAAGAAGAUGACGGUACCUGACCAAGAAGCCCCGGCUAACUACGUGCCAGCAGCCGCGGUAAUACGUAGGGGGCAAGCGUUAUCCGGAAUUACUGGGUGUAAAGGGAGCGCAGGCGGGACUGCAAGUUGG
rnacentral:rRNA from 1 species